rnacentral:rRNA from 1 species
AGUGAACGCUGGCGGUAGGCCUAACACAUGCAAGUCGAACGGCAGCACAGUAAGAGCUUGCUCUUACGGGUGGCGAGUGGCGGACGGGUGAGGAAUACAUCGGAAUCUACUUUUUCGUGGGGGAUAACGUAGGGAAACUUACGCUAAUACCGCAUACGACCUACGGGUGAAAGCAGGGGAUCUUCGGACCUUGCGCGAUUGAAUGAGCCGAUGUCGGAUUAGCUAGUUGGCGGGGUAAAGGCCCACCAAGGCGACAAUCCGUAGCUGGUCUGAGAGGAUGAUCAGCCACACUGGAACUGAGACACGGUCCAGACUCCUACGGGAGGCAGCAGUGGGGAAUAUUGGGCAAUGGGCGCAAGCCUGAUCCAGCCAUACCGCGUGGGUGAAGAAGGCCUUCGGGUUGUAAAGCCCUUUUGUUGGGAAAGAAAAGCAGCAGGUUAAUACCCCGCUGUUCUGACGGUACCCAAAGAAUAAGCACCGGCUAACUUCGUG